GAACUGAGCUGGUGGCUGCGGCUGGGUGCCAGGACCUGGGAGGGGUCUUCAGCUGUUGACUUGGAGGGCCUUAGUGUGGGCUCAGCACCUUACUCUAUAUGGCAGCACCUGGGACAUUCACUCAGCACCUGUUUCACAGCAAGAUUCCUGCUUGUCUUGACCCCUGCUUAAAGACUGUAUGACUGCAGCAAUCAGAGAUGGAAUAGGCGCCUUUUGGAAGGCUCUGCUGAGUGACUCAGCAGCUCAGCUCCAGUUACGUGACCCAGAAUCCACUUGGCACAAAACCUUCCUGUUCUCACUGCUGGGCCACAGCUCUGCUGGCUGCAGAACAGUUCGUGCUAGCCCUCACUCACCCCGUUCCUUACUCCACAACUGCGCUUUGCCUUCAGUUUUGCAGGCACCAAAGUGGUUCUUUGCUUGGCCUGGGUUCUUCCCUUCCAGCUCUUCCAGUGUGGUUUCUGGAUGAAAAAGAGAAAAAAAAAAAAAAAGAUGGUGCCUUCCUACAUUCCCCCUCAUAGAUACCAUCUGGAUUGCAGACAACUCACCCAAAUAGAAUAUGAAGCUUGGCAGGAAAAAAAAGCCCCUUGUGUGUCUUUCCAAAUUGAUAUUUCAAUAUCUCUGUUUUGCACCAACUGAAACAAGCCCAAAUUCUCUGGGAGAGAGUGUGUGCUAACAUGGCCUCUAUUUUAUUAAGAACAAACAAACAACAACAACAACGAAAAAGCAUGGCAGUCAUUUAGCUGUAAUGGCCAAGAUAUAAAAUGUCAGUUUUAUUUAUGGCAAGUAGCUGGGUAGAAAAUAUGUCCUGGCAUCGCUUGAGAUUUCAAGAACUUUGUUUUCCUUUUUCUCUCGCUGCAUGAAAUAAUGCUGUAUUCUUAACAAACAAACAAAGAAAAACAAAGAAGACGACAGCCCUCUCCAGCAAGAAAGACCAUGCUCUUCUCUCCACAGAACCAGAGUGAGUGGACCUGUGAGAGACAGAGGGACGUGAAAGUCAAAUCAGGUGCAACAGGAACUCAAACCCAUGCUUUCUGCCUCCAUGUUCACAUGAUAAUCACUGGGGAAUCAGCACGCUGGAGUUACAGUUUUCUGCUCUGUUUCUGACCAAAAGUUCCAUGCUGAAACAACGAGACUUCACACUGAGACCAAUGAACAACAACGUCAGGCUUUGCGCUACCGGUAUCAGAGCCUAACACGGCUGUGGCUGCUGACUUGUGCUUGGAUGAGCCUACACAAAUGCCAUUAAGUCAUUAAAACGCCGCUUGAACCAGCUUCCUACACAGCUCUAAUUAAACUUAACCAAUCUAAUC
ensembl:lncRNA